CUACGGGGCGCACCAGUGGGGAAUUUUGGACAAUGGGGGAAACCCUGAUCCAGCCAUGCCGCGUGCGGGAUGAAGGCCUUCGGGUUGUAAACCGCUUUCAGACGGAAAGAAAUUGCCACUCCUAAUACGGGUGGUAGAUGACGGUACCGUCAGAAGAAGCACCGGCUAACUACGUGCCAGCAGCCGCGGUAAUACGUAGGGUGCGAGCGUUAAUCGGAAUUACUGGGCGUAAAGCGUGCGCAGGCGGUUUCUUAAGCAAGAUGUGAAAUCCCCGGGCUUAACCUGGGAACUGCAUUUUGAACUGGGAGACUAGAGUGUGUCAGAGGGGGGUGGAAUUCCGCGUGUAGCAGUGAAAUGCGUAGAUAUGCGGAGGAACACCGAUGGCGAAGGCAGCCCCCUGGGAUAACACUGACGCUCAUGUACGAAAGCGUGGGGAGCAAACAGGAUUAGAUACCCUCGUAGUC
rnacentral:rRNA from 1 species